rfam:Aedes albopictus isolate Foshan contig113357, whole genome shotgun sequence.
AGCUCGGUAGCUUAGUUGCUAAAGCACUUGUCUAGCGAAUAAGGGUCGUGAGUUCAAAUCUCACCUGAGCUG